rnacentral:rRNA from 1 species
ACCACUUGGGGAUAACCUUGCGAAAGUAAGACUAAUGCCCAAUGACAUUUAUAGAAGGCAUCCGAAUGAUUAAAGAUUUAUCGGUGAAGGAUGGGGAUGCGUCUGAUUAGCUUGUUGGUGAGGUAACGGCUCACCAAGGCGACGAUCAGUAGGGGUUCUGAGAGGAAGGUCCCCCACAUUGGAACUGAGACACGGUCCAAACUCCUACGGGAGGCAGCAGUGAGGAAUAUUGGUCAAUGGGCGAGAGCCUGAACCAGCCAAGUAGCGUGCAGGACGACGGCCCUAUGGGUUGUAAACUGCUUUUAUAUGGGGAUAAAGUGAGCUACGUGUAGUUUAUUGCAGGUACCAUAUGAAUAAGGACCGGCUAAUUCCGUG